rnacentral:rRNA from 1 species
UACGUAGGGUGCGAGCGUUUAAUCGGAAUUACUGGGCGUAAAGCGUGCGCAGGCGGUUCGUUGUGUCGGUGGUGAAAGCCCCGGGCUUAACCUGGGAAUGGCCAUGGAAACUGGCGAACUGGAGUGUGGCAGAGGGGGGUGGAAUUCCGCGUGUAGCAGUGAAAUGCGUAGAGAUGUGGAGGAACACCGAUGGCGAAGGCAGCCCCCUGGGCCAAUACUGACGCUCAUGCACGAAAGCGUGGGGAGCAAACAGG